rnacentral:rRNA from 1 species
GACGAACGCUGGCGGCGUGCUUAACACAUGCAAGUCGAACGGGCCCGCCCCUGUUUUUAGGGGUGGGUUGAGUGGCGAACGGGUGAGUAUCACGUGAGUAACCUGCCCCCUGCUCCUGGAUAACUGCUUGAAAGGGCGGCUAAUACGGGGUGUGCCGGCUGCUCCGCAUGGGCCUGGUCGGGAUAGUUUCAUCUUCGGGUGUUGUGGUGGGGGAUGGGCUCGCGGCCUAUCAGCUUGUUGGUGGGGUAGUGGCCCACCAAGGCGUGGCAGGGUAGCCGGCGUGGGAGGGGGACGGGCCACAGUGGGACUGAGGUAAGGCGCAGAGGCCUAGGGGAGGGAGCGGGGGGGAAGGGUGCACAAGGGGGGGAAGGCUGAUGCAGCAACGCCGCGGGCGGGAGGAAGGCGUUCGGGUUGUAAAGCGGUUGCGCCGGGGAAGAAGGGUGAGUGACGGGAAGGGGUAAAGAAGAAAAGGCUAACUACGUG